rnacentral:rRNA from 1 species
ACUUUCAGCGAGGAAGAACGCCUAACGGUUAAUACCCGCUAGGAAAGACAUCACUCGCAGAAGAAGCACCGGCUAACUCCGUGCCAGCAGCCGCGGUAAUACGGAGGGUGCAAGCGUUAAUCGGAAUUACUGGGCGUAAAGCGCGCGUAGGUGGCUUGAUAAGCCGGUUGUGAAAGCCCCGGGCUCAACCUGGGAACGGCAUCCGGAACUGUCAAGCUAGAGUGCAGGAGAGGAAGGUAGAAUUCCCGGUGUAGCGGUGAAAUGCGUAGAGAUCGGGAGGAAUACCAGUGGCGAAGGCGGCCUUCUGGACUGACACUGACACUGAGGUGCGAAAGCGUGGGUAGCAAACAGGAUUAGAUACCCUGGUAGUCCACGCCGUAAACGAUGUCGACCAGCCGUUGGGUGCCUAGCGCACUUUGUGGCGAAGUUAACGCGAUAAGUCGACCGCCUGGGGAGUACGGCCGCAAGGUUAAAACUCAAAUGAAUUGACGGGGGCCCGCACAAGCGGUGGAGCAUGUGGUUUAAUUCGAUGCAACGCGAAGAACCUUACCUACUCUUGACAUCCUGCGAAUUUGGUAGAGAUACCUUAGUGCCUUCGGGAACGCAGAGACAGGUGCUGCAUGGCUGUCGUCAGCUCGUGUUGUGAAAUGUUGGGUUAAGUCCCGUAACGAGCGCAACCCUUGUCCUUAUUUGCCAGCGCGUAAUGGCGGGAACUCUAAGGAGACUGCCGGUGACAAACC